rnacentral:rRNA from 1 species
UACGUAGGGUGCGAGCGUUGUCCGGAAUUAUUGGGCGUAAAGAGCUCGUAGGCGGUCUGUCGCGUCGGGAGUGAAAACACUGGGCUUAACUCAGUGCUUGCUUCCGAUACGGGCAGACUAGAGGUAUUCAGGGGAGAACGGAAUUCCUGGUGUAGCGGUGAAAUGCGCAGAUAUCAGGAGGAACACCGGUGGCGAAGGCGGUUCUCUGGGAAUGUCCUGACGCUGAGGAGCGAAAGCGUGGGGAGCGAACAGG